UUUAGUAUCCGUUUAUAUAAACCAAACCACGACAAAACAAAACAAAACUAAGGCGUCUACAUACACAUGAUGUUUCAUCAUUGAAUGUUUUGUUGACAUAUUAACUACUGUACUCUAGACUAGAGACUCUAUCUUUGAUUGAAAAUUCUCACCUUCUUCAAUUUCUGUGCACUUCUUUCUAUCACACUCAAUUUCUUGUGCUAACAACAAGGUACGUUUUUCAACUCAGCUUACCACUACUUAGUUCAACCAUCUUUUUCAGUGCAUUGCUUGGUUUUUUGUGUAGAAUUAAAUUUUAAUCAAAGAUGCAAUUUUUUCUUCUUUUUAUUGGAUCUAGAUUUACUUUUGGAAAACCCAUUUGAUUGUUUGGUAAUUGGGAUGUGGUUUCUUAUUUGUACAGUGAUGAAAUGAAAUGGGUGAGUUUAAAGUUAGUUUCUUUGUUUCUAUUUUGGGUGCAAAUUGCAUUUCCAUGUUUGAAGAUGUUUGGUUUAUUUUUC
rnacentral:lncRNA from 1 species